GAUGAACGCUAGCGGCAGGCCUAACACAUGCAAGUCGAGGGGUAACAUAGGAAAGCUUGCUUUUCUGAUGACGACCGGCGCACGGGUGCGUAACGCGUAUACAACCUACCUUUUAGCGGGGAAUAGCCCAGGGAAACUUGGAUUAAUGCCCCAUAGUAUAUAGACUUCUCCUGAAGUUUAUAUUAAACAUUUAUGGCUAUUAGAUGGGUAUGCGUCCUAUUAGUUAGUUGGUAAGGUAACGGCUUACCAAGGCAGCGAUAGGUAGGGGUCCUGAGAGGGAGAUCCCCACACUGGUACUGAGACACGGACCAGACUCCUACGGGAGGCAGCAGUGAGGAAUAUUGGACAAUGGGCGAGGGCCUGAUCCAGCCAUGCCGCGUGCAGGAAGACUGCCCUAUGGGUUGUAAACUGCUUUUACAGAGGAAGAACCACCCCCACGUGUGGGGGUUUGACGGUACUCUGCGAAUAAGGAUCGGCUAACUCCGUG
rnacentral:rRNA from 1 species